ACCCCGGGUGUCAAGCGGGGCUACCCGAGUUUAAGCAUAUCAAUAAGCGGAGGAAAAGAAACUAACAAGGAUUCCCCUAGUAACGGCGAGCGAACCAAGGGAAGAGCCCGGCAUGAGAAUCGGGCGCCCUCGGCGUUCGAAUUGUAGUACUGAGAAGCGUCCUCGGCGACGGACCGGGCCCAAGUUCCUGGAAGGGGCGCCGAGAGAGGUGAGAGCCCCGUCGUGUCCGGACCACUGUCGCACCACGAGCCUUUGUCGGCGAGUCGGGUUGUUUGGGAAUGCAGCCACUAAUCGGGCGGUAAAUUCCGUCCAAGGCUAAAUAUGGGCGAGAGGCAGAUAGCAAACAAGUACGCGAGGAAAGAUGAAAAGGACUUUGAAAAGAGAGUCAAAAGUGCUUGAAAUUGUCGGGAGGGGAAGCGGAUGGGGGCCGCGAUGUGCCUCGGUCGAAUGUGGAACGGUGUGAGCCGGUACCCGAUUGACUCGAGGCAUGGACCGAUGCGGAUUGCGGUGGCGGCCCAAGCCCGGGCCUUCGAUACGUCGUGAAACGUCGCCAUUGCGAUUGUGGAGAUUCAGCGCGCGCCUUCGGCGUGCCUCGGCAUCUGCGUGCUCCGGGCAUCGGCUAGUGGGCUCCCGUUCGGCCGUCUUGAAACACGGACCAAGGAGUCGACAUGUGUGCGAGUCGAUGGGUGGCAAACCCGUAAGGCGUAAGGAAGGCGAUUGGUGGGAUCCGCUUUUGGGUGCACCGCCCGACCAGGCCUUGAUCUUACGAGAAGGGUUCGAGUGAGAGCAUGCCUAUCGGGACCGAAAGAUGGUGAACUAUGCCUGAGCGGGGCGAAGCGGAGGAAACUACGGUGGAGGCCCGCAGCGAUACUGACGUGCAAAUCGUUCGUCGACUUGGGUAUAGGGGCGAAAGACUAAUCGAACCGUCUAGUAGCCGGUUCCCUCCGAAGUUUCCCUCGGGAUAGUGGAGCUCAAGAACGAGUUCUAUCGGGUAAAGCCAAUGAUUAGAGGCAUCGGGCGCAACGCCCUCGACUAUUCUCAAACUUUAAAUAGGUAGGACGGCGCGAGCAUUUGCUUUGUUGAGCCACGCCACGGAAUCGAGAGCUCAGUGGGCCAUUUUUGGUAAGCGGGCGCGAUGCGGGAUGAGCCGGAAGUCGAGGUUACGGUGCCCAAUGCGCGCUAACCUAGAACCCACAAAGGGUGUUGGUCGAUUAAGACGGCGGACGGUGGUCAUGGAAGUCGAAAUCCGCUAAGGAGUGUGUAACAACUCACUGCCCGAAUCAACUAGCCCCGAAAAUGGAUGGCGCCGGGCGCGCGACCUAUACUCGGCGUCAAGGCAAGUGCCGAAGCCUUGAUGAGUAGGAGGGCGCGGCGGUCGGCCGCAGGCCUGGGCGUGAGCCCAGCGGAGCGGCCGUCGGUGCGAGAUCUUGGUGGUAGUAGCAAAUAUUCAAAUGAGAACUUUGAAGACCGAAGAGGGAAAGGUUCCAUGUGAGCGGCACUUGUACAUGGGUUAGUCGAUCCUAAGAGACGGGGAAGCCGUCGAUAGCGCUUCGUGCGCGAGCUUCGAAAGGGAAUCGGGUUAAAAUUCUGAACCGGGACGUGGCGGGCGACCGGCAACGUUAGGGAGUCCGGAGAGGCGUCGGCGGGGGCCUCGGGAAGAGUUAUCUUUUCCGUUUUAACGGCCUGCCCACCACUGGAAACGGCUCGGCGGAGGUAGGGUCCGGCGAGCUGGAAGAGCACCGCAGCGUCGCGUGGUGUCCGGUGCGCCCGGCGGCCCUUGAAAAUACGGAGGACCGAGUGCCGUCCACGCCCAGGUCGUACUUUCAUAACCGCAUCAGUCUCCAAGGUGAACAACCCUGCAGUCGAUGGAACAAUGUAGGCAAGGGAAGUCGGCAAAAUGGAUCCGUAACCUCGGGAAAAGGAUUGGCUCGAGGACUCGGGCACGGGGUCCCAAUCCAGAACCCGUCGGUGUCGGUGGGCCGCUCGAGGCUGCUUCUCGCGGCGAGCGGGUCGCGCGUGCUUACGGCCGGGGACAGUUAGGGAGCGGCUCCUUCGGGGGGCCUUCCUCGGGCGUCGAACGAUCGGCUCGUAAGGGCGAGUACGGACAAGGGGAAUCCAAAUGUUUAAUUAAAACAAAGCAUUGCGAUGGUCCUGCGGAUGCUCACGCAAUGUGAUUUACGCCAGCUAACUUCGAAUGUCAAAGUGAAGAAAUUCAACCAAGCGCGGGUAAACGGCGGGAGUAACUAUGACUCUUUAAGGUAGCCAAAUGCCUCGUCAUCUAAUUAGUGACGCGCAUGAAUGGAUUAACGAGAUUCCCAGUGUCCUGUCUACUAUCCAAAUAAACCACGACCAAGGAACGGGCUUGGCGGAAAUCGGCGGGGAAAGAAGACCUGUUGAGCUUGACUCUAGUCCGACUUUGUGAAAUGACUUGAGAGGUGUAGGAUAAGUGGGAGCCGGAAACGGCGAAAGUGAAAUACCACUACUUUUAACGUUAUUUUACUUAUUCCGUGAAACGGAGGCGGCAAUGCCCUUCUUUUAGAAGCCAAGGUCCGCGUGCGUGGCCGAUCCGGCGGAAGACAUUGUCGAGGUGGGGAGUUUGGUGGGCGGCACAUCCGUUAAAAGAUAACGCAGGUGUCCUAAGAUGAGCUCAACGAGAACAGAAAUCUCGUGUAGAACAAAAGGGUAAAAGCUCGUUUGAUUCGAUUUCCGAUGAAUACGAACCGUGAAAGCGUGGCCUAUCGAUCCUUUAGAUCUUCGGAAUUUGAAGCUAGAGGUGUCGAAAAAGUUACCACGGGGAUAACCGGCUUGUGGCAGCCAAGCGUUCAUAGCGACGUUGCUUUUUGAUCCUUCGAUGUCGAUUUCUUCCUAUCAUUGUGAAGCGGGAAUUCACCCAAGUGUUGGAUUGUUCACCCACCAAUAGGGAACGUGAGUGGGUUUAGGCAGGUCGUGAGACGGAGUUAGUUUUACCCUACUCGAUGAUAGUGUCACAAUAGUAAUUCAACCUAGUACGAGAGGAACCGUUGAUUCGCACAAUUGGUCAUCGCGCUUGGUUGAAAAGCCCGGUGUGAAGCUACCGUCUUAUUUGGAUUAUGGUGACCGAACGCCUAAGUCGAAUCCGGGCUAGAAGUGAUGCAUGCGCUUGUCGCUCGAUUGCCGACCUGCUUGAUGAGGACUUGUUCCCCCAGGGCACGUGUCGUUGGUGAAGCCUCACGGUGGAUGAACCGGUGCGGGCCGCCUUGAAGCACAAUUACUAUUGAGCGACGAGUAGAAUCUUUUGCGACGACUUAAAUACGCGACGGGGUAUUGUAAGUGGCGAGUGGCACUUGUCGCCACGAUCCACCGAGAUUCAGCCUUGUCGCCCGAUUCGU